UGGUUCUGGCAUNGAUGAAGAACGCAGCGAAAUGCGAUAAGUAAUGUGAAUUGCAGAAUUCAGUGAAUCAUCGAAUCUUUGAACGCACAUUGCGCCCGCCAGCAUUCUGGCGGGCAUGCCUGUUCGAGCGUCAUUUCAACCCUCGGACUCCCCUCGGGGAGGCCGGCCUUGGGGCACGGCAGCACACGCCGGCCCCCAAAUGGAGUGGCGGCCCGUCCGCGGCGACCUCUGCGCAGUACACAAGCUCGCACCGGGAACCCGACGCGGCCACGCCGUAAAACCCCCAACUUUCUGAACGUUGACCUCAGAUCAGGUAGGACUACCCGCUGA
rnacentral:misc_RNA from 1 species